AGAGUUUGAUCCUGGCUCAGGAUGAACGCUGGCGGCGUGCCUAAUACAUGCAAGUCGAGCGAACAGACGAGGAGCUUGCUCCUUUGACGUUAGCGGCGGACGGGUGAGUAACACGUGGGUAACCUACCUAUAAGACUGGGAUAACUUCGGGAAACCGGAGCUAAUACCGGAUAAUAUUUCGAACCGCAUGGUUCGAUAGUGAAAGAUGGCUUUGCUAUCACUUAUAGAUGGACCUGCGCCGUAUUAGCUAGUUGGUAAGGUAACGGCUUACCAAGGCAACGAUACGUAGCCGACCUGAGAGGGUGAUCGGCCACACUGGAACUGAGACACGGUCCAGACUCCUACGGGAGGCAGCAGUAGGGAAUCUUCCGCAAUGGGCGAAAGCCUGACGGAGCAACGCCGCGUGAGUGAUGAAGGUCUUCGGAUCGUAAAACUCUGUUAUUAGGGAAGAACAAACGUGUAAGUAACUGUGCACGUCUUGACGGUACCUAAUCAGAAAGCCACGGCUAACUACGUGCCAGCAGCCGCGGUAAUACGUAGGUGGCAAGCGUUAUCCGGAAUUAUUGGGCGUAAAGCGCGCGUAGGCGGUUUUUUAAGUCUGAUGUGAAAGCCCACGGCUCAACCGUGGAGGGUCAUUGGAAACUGGAAAACUUGAGUGCAGAAGAGGAAAGUGGAAUUCCAUGUGUAGCGGUGAAAUGCGCAGAGAUAUGGAGGAACACCAGUGGCGAAGGCGACUUUCUGGUCUGUAACUGACGCUGAUGUGCGAAAGCGUGGGGAUCAAACAGGAUUAGAUACCCUGGUAGUCCACGCCGUAAACGAUGAGUGCUAAGUGUUAGGGGGUUUCCGCCCCUUAGUGCUGCAGCUAACGCAUUAAGCACUCCGCCUGGGGAGUACGACCGCAAGGUUGAAACUCAAAGGAAUUGACGGGGACCCGCACAAGCGGUGGAGCAUGUGGUUUAAUUCGAAGCAACGCGAAGAACCUUACCANUUCCUCCGCCAUUUUUAUNUAAAAUUGGCGCAUUAACUGAUCGAAAUGGAUUACGACCAGGACGCUAUACAAUCACUAAAGAUAAUUUUAUUGUUUUCUCAUCUGAAGUGGGUGUGAUUGAUGUACCAGAAGAAAACGUUGCGUUUAAAGGACAAUUGAAUCCUGGGAAAUUAUUGCUCGUUGAUUUUAACUCUAAUAAAGUCAUCGAAAAUAACGAACUUAAAACUCAUAUUGCACAUAAAUAUCCUUAUAAAGAUUGGAUUGAUCAAUACAAGAUUGAUUUAGAAUUAGACGAAGUUCAAUAUCAACGUCAAUUAUUAGAUGAAGCAACACUGUUUAAAGUACAAAAGCAGUUUGGCUACACUAAGGAAGAUAUUCAUAAAUAUAUGACAGAUUUGGUGGUAGGAAAAAAAGAUCCUAUUGGUGCAAUGGGGUAUGAUGCACCGCUCGCAGUACUUAAUGAACGACCAGAAUCAUUAUUUAACUAUUUUAAACAACUGUUUGCUCAAGUAACGAAUCCACCUAUCGAUGCUUAUCGUGAAAAGAUUGUAACAAGUGAGUUAUCUUAUCUAGGUAGUGAAGGAAAUUUACUUCAUCCAGUACCGAAUGUCUUAGAUCGUAUACAACUUACUAAACCAGUUCUUACAUUAAAUCAAUUAGAUAAAAUUGAACAAAGUAAGUUUAACGUGAAACAUUUAUCGACCCUGUAUCAAGAUAUUUCACUCGAAGAAGCUCUAAAUCAUAUAGGAGAAGAAGCGGUUCAAGCUACAAAAGAAGGUUAUACAAUUUUAGUGUUAGAUGAUAGUGCACUAAUCAAUACAACUCAGUCGUUACAUUAUGCUAUGCCAAUGUUAUUAGCUGUAAGUCAUAUUCAUCAAUUACUUAUUAAAGAAGACUUACGUAUGAGUACAAGUAUUGUUGCUUUAUCAGGUGAAACACGUGAAGUGCAUCAUGUUGCUUGUUUACUUGGAUAUGGUGCUAAUGCAGUCAUUCCAUACUUAGCACAACAAACGAUUGCUCAUUUAACUGAUAGUCACCAUCUUGAAGGUUCAAUUUCUGAAAAUGUUGAAACAUAUACAAAUGUUUUAUCAGAAGGCGUUAUUAAAGUUAUGGCUAAAAUGGGUAUUUCUACCGUUCAAAGUUAUCAUGGUGCACAAAUAUUUGAAGCAGUAGGCUUAUCUCAAAAUGUUAUUGAUACUUACUUUACAGGGACGCAAUCUAAAUUAUCAGGAUUAAGUAUUGAACAAAUUGAUGAAGAAAAUAGAAAACGUCAAAGUAAUGAAGAAGAAUAUCUAGCUUCUGGUAGUAACUUCCAAUGGCGUCAACAAGGUCAACAUCAUGUAUUUAAUCCAACAACGAUUCAUUUAUUACAACAUGCCUGUCGUGAAAAUGAUUAUGAGCAAUUUAAAACAUUUACUAAUGCUGUGCAUGACAAUAGACACGACCAUUUACGUGAUUUACUAGAAUUUAAAUCUCAAUCAUCAAUUCCUAUUGAGCAAGUAGAAUCUGUAGAAUCGAUUGUAAAACGCUUUAACACAGGUGCUAUGAGUUAUGGUUCUAUUUCUGAGGAAGCACAUCAAACUUUAGCAAAAGCGAUGAAUAAAUUAGGAGGAAAAAGUAAUAGCGGUGAAGGAGGAGAAAAUCCUAAACGAUAUGUCAUUCAAGAAGAUGGCAGUUAUUUAUCAAGUGCGAUUAAACAAGUUGCAUCAGGACGAUUUGGUGUAACUAGUGAGUAUUUACAACACGCUAAAGAAUUACAAAUUAAAGUAGCUCAAGGUGCAAAACCUGGUGAAGGUGGACAACUUCCUGGCACUAAAGUAUAUCCUUGGAUUGCUGAAACACGUGGAUCUACACCAGGUAUUGGGCUUAUUUCGCCACCACCACACCAUGAUAUUUAUUCAAUUGAAGAUUUAGCGCAAUUGAUUCACGAUUUGAAAAAUGCAAAUAAAGAUGCUGAUAUUGCUGUUAAACUCGUAUCUAAAAUAGGUAUAGGAACGAUUGCUUCAGGGGUAGCUAAAGCAUUUGCAGAUAAAAUUGUAGUCAGUGGUUAUGACGGUGGUACUGGUGCAUCUCCUAAAACAAGUAUUCAACAUGCCGGAUUACCAUGGGAGAUUGGUUUAGCAGAAACACAUCAAACAUUAAAGUUAAAUGAUUUACGUAGUCGUGUACGUUUAGAAACAGACGGUAAGUUAUUAACAGGUAGAGAUGUAGCAUUAGCGUGUGCAUUAGGA
rnacentral:rRNA from 1 species